rnacentral:rRNA from 1 species
GAUGAACGCUGGCGGCGUGCCUAAUACAUGCCAGUCGAGCGAACGGACGAGAAGCUUGCUUCUCUGAUGUUAGCGGCGGACGGGUGAGUAACACGUGGAUAACCUACCUAUAAGACUGGGAUCACUUCGUGAAACCGGAGCUAAUACCGGAUAAUAUUUUGAACCGCAUGGUUCAAAAGUGAAAGACGGUCUUGCUGUCACUUAUAGAUGGUUCCUCGCUGCAUUAGCUAGUUGGUAAUGUAACGGCUUACCAAGGCAACGAUGCAUAGCCGACGUGAGAGGCUGAUCGCCCACACUAGAACAGACGCGAGGACCAUAAUCAUACGAGAAGGAGCAGUAGGGAAUAUGCGGCAACAGGCGAGAUCCUGACGGAGCAACGCCACGCGCGUGAAGGAGGUCCUAGGCUCGGAAAGAUCUGUUAUUAGGGAAAAACAUAUGUGGAAGGAACUGUGCACAUCUUGACGGUACCUACUCAGAAAGCCACGGCUAAAUACGUG